AUACAUACUCGUCGAAAUUGAAAAUAAAAAAUUAUUAAAAUAUCAAAAGCAAACGCAAAAACAAAGAAAAAUCGUUCAUUCGUUCGUUCGAUCGUUCGUUAACUCAGUGCAUAGUAUAUACAUACAUACACAUGCAAAAAUACAUACCCAUGUAUAUAGCAUGAAAAGUCAUAAGUCAAUCGUAUGUAAAUAUGUACAUAAAUUGUAUAAAAAAAAAAAGAAAAAACAAAAACAAAAAGUAAUCAUUCAAUCGACCAACCAAUCAAGCCAAGCAAGCCAAUCAACCAACCAACCAACCACCUCAGUCAAGUGUACAUAGAAAAGUCUAGAUGUUUAAACGAAGUCACUAUCAAAAACGUCAAACUUUUGUCAGAACAAAAAAAAAAAAAAAAAAAAAAAAUAAAAAAAAAACAGUUAACACAAAAUGUUAAUCCAAAAUAAUUUUCAUCAUCAACGAAAAAAGUAUUUUGUCAAGCUCAUUCAAAAUCCUAAGGGCCUGGACAAUCAGAUCUAUAAUUUUUUCUCAUUGCUAUAGAAAUUGGUUAUAGAUUUUUGAAACAGAAUUAAAAAAUAAUAAUAUGAAUUUAAAUCAUACAUAUAUAUAUAUAUAUAUAAAUGAAUAUAUUUGUCCAACAUUAGUGCAUACUAAAAGGACUUUAACACUUUGGAGUUGGCGUUGAAAAAUAUAUUUUUAAACCAUAACUCUUACAGAAAAGAAAUGGGGGACUAACAACAAUUUGAAGAUAAAAAAAAAUAUUAACAAUUUACAAAACUUAAGCAAAAAAGAUGUUUGAAUUGUGCUUAGCUGAGGUUGGGAGAUUAUUUAUAACAAAAAAAAAAAACAUUUAUGCAAAAGCAGGUUCAAAAAGGUAACGAAUAUUAACGAACGUUGAAAAUAUAAA